AGAAAUCCUCUGGCCUUAAAAUGUCACCCUUUAAUAUACGUACCUGCAUACAUCCAUAACAAAUUAACCAACUUCUUGCAUGCAAGGUCUACACUCCAACCACCGUCAAAAGAAAUUCUAAAGUGGCUCAGGCUUCGUUAUACAUAUAUAAUUCAAACCUCAAUCGAGAUUCGGGCCCACCAAAACAAAAAAAAUUCUAAACCUUAUUCUCAAACCACUUCGAGUUUAAGAAUCCGUAACCAUUAACAAAUUCAAUGAUAUAUUUUGAUGCAAUUCAAGCACAACUCACACAGUUUAUUCCGUGGUUGCACCUAGGUUAACCUAAGUUCUUACGUACCCUUACUAGGGGAUCAAGUCACACAUAGUUCUUUUAGUAAUGAAAUUAUUAGCAUACAAUCCAAUAAAUCAGUCAAAACCAAGUUUCAAAUCGAACCAUAUUUAAAGAUAUUAAUGCCUAUGCAAAGUAGUCUCAAUGCACAAACUGAAGAAAAUCCCACCG
rnacentral:lncRNA from 1 species